rnacentral:rRNA from 1 species
UACGUAGGGUGCGAGCGUUGUCCGGAAUUAUUGGGCGUAAAGAGCUCGUAGGCGGUGUGUCGCGUCGGCCGUGAAAACCUGGGGCUUAACUCUGGGCGUGCGGUCGAUACGGGCAUCACUAGAGUUCGGCAGGGGAGACUGGAAUUCCUGGUGUAGCGGUGAAAUGCGCAGAUAUCAGGAGGAACACCGGUGGCGAAGGCGGGUCUCUGGGCCGAUACUGACGCUGAUGCGCGAAAGCCAGGGGAGCGAACGGG